UACGUAGGGGGGCAAGCGUUGUCCGGAAUCAUUGGGCGUAAAGAGCGUGUAGGCGGCCCGAUAAGUCCGCCGUGAAAGUCCAGGGCUCAACCCUGGAAUGCCGGUGGAUACUGUCGGGCUCGAAUCCGGAAGAGGUGAGUGGAAUUCCUGGUGUAGCGGUGAAAUGCGCAGAUAUCAGGAGGAACACCGGUGGCGAAGGCGGCAUCCUGGACCGGCAUUGACGCUGAGGCGCGAAAGCUAGGGGAGCAAACGGG
rnacentral:rRNA from 1 species